GAGGUAGAGCACCUCCCCGCUAAGCCUUUAAAUAGCCAAGCUCUCAUUUAAGCAACUGAGCUUGGCUCCCAUAAGUGAGUUUGUGAAGGUGUACUUGGCUCGUAAGUGUGCGUAUGUGAGAAGUUCUGUGUGUUUUUUACGCGAGUUUUGUGUCUUUCUCAACUUGUGGCAUGAGAGUCAAGCUUCGGCACUCAACAGUGCCAUCAGAGUUCAACUCUGUGAUCCCAAAGUUGCCAGAAUUCUGUUAAGUGGCUGAAGAACUCGGCAACGCCCGGUCCAGAUUUGUCGAAUCGAGCUUCCUUCACUGCCUUUCAUAAUCCUCAACACGCCAUCCAAGUACAUUGUGAGAUUUCCUGCGCCUGGUCAGCAUGAAAAUGCUUCCAUUAGCAAGCCAAACAUAUUUUGGAUUGUCAGGACAACUACAUUCAAAGAUACCCACUGUCGGAGCCUGUGGUGUUGAAGAAACCAAGCACGUAAUUUCCAGUCUGCCGAGGUGCCGCAUAAUUACGUUAAAGUCACGGUUGUUGCCACUGUGGUGCUCCCGCCAUUGAUUGUUGCGGGCGUCGAGUCCCGCUGUUGGCUGCUGAAAGCACCCUCCCUCUAAUUCUAAUAUUGAUUGAAUCUUCUACUUUUAAAAGUUUUGAAUAUUUCAGUAAUCAGUUGUGCCGUGCAUAUCACAUUAAGAAUAAUCGAUAUAUUAAAAUAAGCAGAACCGUUUAUUC